rnacentral:rRNA from 1 species
AUCUGUUCUCAGUUCGGAUCGCAGUCUGCAACUCGACUGCGUGAAGCUGGAAUCGCUAGUAAUCGCGGAUCAGCAUGCCGCGGUGAAUACGUUCCCGGGCCUUGUACACACCGCCCGUCACACCACGAGAGUUUGCAACACCCGAAGUCGGUGAGGUAACCUUUAUGGAGCCAGCCGCCGAAGGUGGGGCAGAUGAUUGGGGUGAAGUCGUAACAAGGUAGCCGUAUCGGAAGGUGCGGCUGGAUCACCUCCUUUCUAAGGA